UGACAUCACGAACGAAAGAAAGAAACAUCCAGGAUCCUGUUACACUCUGAGUGGUGUAUGCAGUAUGCACUCCGAACAGGGAAGAGAAGUCAUGGAGUAUUUGACAGCUUGAUAUAGUUGCAUCAGACAGUUUGAAGUAACCUUUGAUGGGGUCUUAUAGAGACAGCUGGCACAGGUUGGAAUUAUGACAUAAUACAGAUUAUGGAUCAUUAAUUGGAAAUAAAUCAGAAAAAGUACUUCAGUUCUUGCUUAGAACAUCAGUGCCAUCUAUUAUAGUAAAGACCAUCGUAUUCCAGCUCAUGAAUGUUCAAGAAAGUUGAAAGAUCGAGCAAAGGUGUGGAACCAGAUAUGCUAAUACCAGUGGCCCAGGAUUUGGAGGAGACUGGUUACCCAAUAAAUGUUAUCCAUGGAAACAAUGAUUCCACAACAACAUUCUAUCUAUAAGCUGUUUUCUUUAUAUUUAGAAAAAAUAAGAGUCUGAGAUGAUUAUAGUACAUUGCUUCUCCAUCUUUGAACUUGCAUUCAGUAAAAUAAAUUUAUGCAUCAGAUGUAUUAAUUGGAGGUGGCAUAUGUCUGCUUAACAAGUUUCUAUGUAGCAUUCAAAAAGUGUUUGUAAAGUUUAAUGUAAAUUGUUGUAGUAAAAUAUCCAUAGA